UAAUACGUAGGGGGCUAGCGUUGUCCGGAUUUAUUGGGCGUAAAGCGCGUGUAGGCGGCUAGGUAGGUCCGCUGUGAAAACUUGAGGCUCAACCUCGAGACGUCGGCGGAAACCAUUUGGCUAGAGUCCGGAAGAGGAGAGUGGAAUUCCUGGUGUAGCGGUGAAAUGCGCAGAUAUCAGGAAGAACACCCGUGGCGAAAGCGGCUCUCUGGGACGGUACUGACGCUGAGACGCGAAAGCGUGGGGAGCGAACAGGAUUAGAUACCCUGGUAGUCCACGCCGUAAACGAUGGGUGCUAGGUGUGGGUGGUGUCGACUCCAUCCGUGCCGCAGCUAACGCAUUAAGCACCCCGCCUGGGGAGUACGGCCGCAAGGCUAAAACUCAAAGGAAUUGACGG
rnacentral:rRNA from 1 species